UACGGGGGGGGCAAGCGUUGUUCGGAAUUACUGGGCGUAAAGGGCUCGUAGGCGGCCAACUAAGUCGGACGUGAAAUCCCUCGGCUUAACCGGGGAACUGCUUCCGAUACUGGAUGGCUAGAGUGUGGGAGAGGGAUGCGGAAUUCCAGGUGUAGCGGUGAAAUGCGUAGAGAUUGGGAAGAACACCAGCGGCGAAAGCGUGCUACUGGGUCUGCACUGACACUGAGGGACGAAAGCUAGGGGAGCGAAAGGG
rnacentral:rRNA from 1 species